AUUGAACGCUGGCGGCAGGCCUAACACAUGCAAGUCGAGCGGAUGCAGGGAGCUUGCUCCUGGAUUCAGCGGCGGACGGGUGAGUAAUGCCUAGGAAUCUGCCUGGUAGUGGGGGAUAACGUCCGGAAACGGGCGCUAAUACCGCAUACGUCCUGAGGGAGAAAGUGGGGGAUCUUCGGACCUCACGCUAUCAGAUGAGCCUAGGUCGGAUUAGCUAGUUGGUGGGGUAAAGGCCUACCAAGGCGACGAUCCGUAACUGGUCUGAGAGGAUGAUCAGUCACACUGGAACUGAGACACGGUCCAGACUCCUACGGGAGGCAGCAGUGGGGAAUAUUGGACAAUGGGCGAAAGCCUGAUCCAGCCAUGCCGCGUGUGUGAAGAAGGUCUUCGGAUUGUAAAGCACUUUAAGUUGGGAGGAAGGGCAGUAAGUUAAUACCGUGCUGUUUUGACGUUACCAACAGAAUAAGCACCGGCUAACUUCGUG
rnacentral:rRNA from 1 species